UUCUUCUGCGUUAAAGAACCAUGGUAAAAUUUCCUAAAUCAAGUCUUGGUUUAUGAAAUAAUGCUAGCAAGGUAGUAGGUGGAGGUAGAAUAUUUAGUACUGCACUGCAGAUGAAAUUUGGGCGGACCUCUUAAUGUCCGGUGUCCUGUGUCUCAAAGUCUAGUGCCACAAAU